rnacentral:ncRNA from 1 species
AAAAAUCUAUGUUGGAAAUUUAACGAAUAGAUAAAUUUUUUAUGGUUUAAAAAAUUUAUUUUAAAUUUAUUUUACAUAUAAAUUUUAGUGUUAAUUAUUAAUUAUUUAAAUAAUAUUUAAUUUUUUUUUGUAGUAAUUAAUUUUAAAAAUUUAAGAAAUUAAGAUUUAGUAAUAUUAAAAUUUAAUAACUAAUUUUGUGCCAGCAGUUGCGGUUAUACAAAAGUUAAUAUAAAUUUUUUUUAGUUAUUAAUAAAUAAAUUAUAAUAAUAAUUUAAAUUUUAAGUUUUAAGGUGAAAUUUUAAUUUAAUAAAAAAUUAUUUGAUAUUUGUGAUUUAAUAAAUUUUAUAAAAAACUAGGAUUAGAUACCCUAUUAUUAAAAUUUAAAUUAAUAAUACUUAAAUAGUAUAUAAUUAUUUAUUGAAACUUAAAUAAUUUGGCGGUAUUUUAGUUCAUUUAGAGGAAUCUGUUUAAUAAUUGAUAAUCCACGAAUAAAUUUACUUAAUUUAUUAUUUUGUAUAUCGUUGUUAAAAAAAUAUUUUUUAAUAAUAUUAAUAUUUAAAAAUUUUUAAUAUAAAUUAAAUCAGAUCAAGAUGCAGAUUAUAAUUAAGAAUAUAAUGGAUUACAAUAAAUUUAUUUAGUUGAAUUUUAAUGUGAAAAAAUUAAAUGAAAUUGGAUUUAAAUGUAAUUUUAUUUAAAUUUUUAAAAUGAUUAAAUAUUAAAAUAUGUACAUAUUGCCCGUCGCUUUCAUUUAUAAGUUGAAAUAAGUCGUAACAAAGUAGAGGUACUGGAAAGUGUUUCUAGAAAGAU